rnacentral:rRNA from 1 species
ACACUCCUGCGGGAGGCAGCAGUAGGGAAUCUUCGGCAAUGGGGGCAACCCUGACCGAGCAACGCCGCGUGAGUGAAGAAGGUUUUCGGAUCGUAAAGCUCUGUUGUAAGUCAAGAACGAGUGUGAGAGUGGAAAGUUCACACUGUGACGGUAGCUUACCAGAAAGGGACGGCUAACUACGUGCCAGCAGCCGCGGUAAUACGUAGGUCCCGAGCGUUGUCCGGAUUUAUUGGGCGUAAAGCGAGCGCAGGCGGUUUGAUAAGUCUGAAGUUAAAGGCUGUGGCUCAACCAUAGUUCGCUUUGGAAACUGUCAAACUUGAGUGCAGAAGGGGAGAGUGGAAUUCCAUGUGUAGCGGUGAAAUGCGUAGAUAUAUGGAGGAACACCGGUGGCGAAAGCGGCUCUCUGGUCUGUAACUGACGCUGAGGCUCGAAAGCGUGGGGAGCGAACAGGAUUAGAAACCCCAGUAGUCCCAUGA